GUGUUGACAACUUGAGCCACUGAGGGGUGAAGAGACGGCGGAUUGCAGA
rnacentral:snoRNA from 1 species